rnacentral:rRNA from 1 species
GAGUUUGAUCAUGGCUCAGGAUUAACGCUGGCGGCAUGCCUAAUACAUGCAAGUCGAACAGAGUAGCAAUACUUAGUGGCGAACGGGUGAGUAACACGUAUCUAAUCUACCAUUUAGUGGGGAAUAACUGUUGGAAACGACAGCUAAUACCGCAUAAUAUUGCUGGAUAAUUUCCAGUAAUGAAAGGAGCUUUCAAGCUCCGCUGAUUGAUGAGGAUGCGGCGCAUUAGCUAGUUGGUAGGGUAAUGGCCUACCAAGGCAAUGAUGCGUAGCCGAUCUGAGAGGAUGAACGGCCACAUUGGGACUGAGACACGGCCCAAACUUCUACGGAAGGCAGCAGUAGGGAAUUUUUCACAAUGGGCGAAAGCCUGAUGGAGCAAUGCCGCGUGACUGAUGAAGGUCUUCGGAUUGUAAAGGUCUGUUGUAAGGGAAGAAAUGGUAAAACAGGAAAUGGUUUUAUCUAUGACGGUACCUUACCAGAAAGCCACGGCUAACUAUGUGCCAGCAGCCGCGGUAAUACAUAGGUGGCAAGCGUUAUCCGGAUUUAUUGGGCGUAAAGGGUGCGUAGACGGUUUUGCAAGUCUGAGGUUAAAUUUAGGAGCUCAACUCCUAAUCGCCUUGGAAACUACAAGACUAGAGUAUAGGAGAGGUUAGUGGAAUUCCAUGUGUAGCGGUGGAAUGUGUAGAUAUAUGGAGGAACACCAGUGGCGAA